rnacentral:rRNA from 1 species
UUGACCUCGGAUCAGGUAGGAAUACCCGCUGAACUAAGC